UAGUGGCGGACGGGUGAGUAACACGUGAGAAUUCGCCUUUAGGAGGGGGAUAACGGAUGGAAACAUUCGCUAAAACCCCAUAUGCCCCUGGGUGAAACAGAGGAGAUAAGUAAUACUGACUCACCUCUGCCUGAAGAGAAGCUCGCGGCUGAUUAGCUAGUUGGUAGGGUAAAGGCCUACCAAGGCGACGAUCAGUAGCUGGUCUGAGAGGACGAUCAGCCACACUGGAACUGAGACACGGUCCAGACUCC
rnacentral:rRNA from 1 species